GAUUUGUGGCUCAGUCAGUAGAGCAUGAGACUCUUAAUCUCAGGGUCGUGGGUUCAAGUCUCAUGUUGGGCA
rnacentral:tRNA from 1 species